rnacentral:rRNA from 1 species
UACGUAGGGUGCAGGCGUUAAUCGGAAUUACUGGGCGUAAAGCGUGCGCAGGCGGUCUCUUAAGACAGGUGUGAAAUCCCCGGGCUUAACCUGGGAACUGCGCUUGUAACUGAGAGGCUUGAGUGUGCCAGAGGGGGGUGGAAUUCCACGUGUAGCAGUGAAAUGCGUAGAGAUGUGGAGGAAUACCGAUGGCGAAGGCAGCCCCCUGGGAUAACACUG